rnacentral:sRNA from 17 species
GGUGCUGAUCUGGUCGGCGGGGCUCUUCUUCCUCACAUGCGCGGCCUUCGCGGUGUACAUGGGGCUGACGUCGACGAGGCGGGGGAGGACGCAGAUGCACCUCGUCAUGGGCUCGGCGUUGUUGUUGAAA